CGCUUGAACCUCAGAGAGGGAAGGAUUCCCAGGGCAGAAAUAAGUUUGGGUGCAUUUCGAGCUUUCUGUUUCUGCUUGUUUGCUUUUGCAGCCGCUCACUCCGAAUGCGCGUGGAGCGCCCCACAGCACCACCGCCCUCCGCGCGCUGGCGCGCACACGCCCCCCGCCAGCCUGGGCGCCCGGCUGCGAACCCCGGGUCUGCAAACUUGAGGAUCUCCCCUCGUCGCGCUCGCCAGACAACUUAGCGAGCACCUCACGCUCCCGUACCCCCCUUCCUCCAGCCCUUCCUCCAAAUCCCAAGCCCACCGUCGCGUUCCAGAGAAGGUGCCCACGUCGCCCCCAGAUCCAGGAGCGCCCCCUCUCCACCCCCGGGGCUUCCCAGGUCGCUCACUCCUCCCGCACCCCCUCAGCUCUGCGGGGGACCGAAAACACACCCCGCCUGGGGCAGCCAGGGCCGAAACUGUCAAGAGGAGAAAAGGUAAAGAGGGAGGAGGGUGGCCAUAAACGGAUUUUUUUUUUUUCUUCUUAAAAGGACACUGCCGCUUUAAAAGUUUCUUUCCCGGGCCCCCACUCUCCGGUUCUCCGUAUUUUGGGGGAGCGUAUUUAAUUUGGACUACGCGGCUUUCCUCCUCUCUUCGCAGAAAAAUCAAAGCCAGGGGAGAUCGCUGGAGAUGGCGAGCUCCGAGACUCCCUCUAUCUUCUGUUUUCAGAGCAACUCUAUGCCCAGAGACAGAAAGGAGGAUCAGCGAGAUAAUCCUGUGCCUACUUCUGAGAAUCUCUCGGGAACAGCACUCGUCCCCAUCUGCAGCCAGACUGAGAAGAGACAAAUGCGAUCAUCCACGUUGGGGAAUCGCAGGUAGCUCCCUGCCAGCCCACCCCAGAACUGAGGAGAAAGUAAAAAGGAAUUCGACCUGGCCCAACACCCCAAGGAAGGAGGACGAUGGGGGGACGUGGCACUUUUUACUUCGGGAUGGGACGCCCAGUGGGUUUCCAGACUUGGUUUGAUACAUCUGUGUCUAAAAGAGGCUUUAGGUCUUGAACCGCCCGGUACAGCCAAUUUCUGGUGUGGCUGAAAGAGGUGGCUUUCAGCCCCUUCCCUGCUUUCUCUGAGAAGGAUCCAGAAACCACUUGGCAGGGCAGUUUCUACUGAAGAAAACUUUGGCCUGUUUGGUUGAUGACUAUCUAAGCUGGUUGUAAUAUGGCGUACUGCAUCUAGUUCUGUGUGGCUGCUAAUUGUCAAUUCCCAUUGGUAAUCUUACUAUUAAACCUGCAGUCUCAUCCAUAAAAGAUAUACUGGAGAGGCAUUAACAAUGCCUCGGUGAUAAAGUUCAGAUAAUUAACAGCUCUUAAUAAGUCACAUCAUUGUAGACAUCAUUCUGCACCUCCCUUCCAUUGAAACACACCCAUCACAUAGUAGGUGUUUAAUGAUAUCAAAGGAAACUAGAGAAUUGCAUCAAUAUUACCUUGACCCCAAACUCCAAUAUGAAGGGACAAUACAAACUAAAUGAGUAGAAAACAUUCAGGUGGUAUUAGCCUGACUUCUCUGUCUCAAUGCUCAAUUCACCAAUUCUUCCUGACUGCCCAAAUACUGAUGAAAUAAGUACAUUUUUAACAUACACCCCCACCUUCCUUUCAGAAAGCUCACAAAGUUUGACAAUAAAAAAUAUUAUUAUAUACCAGAAGGUGGCAUAAAUAUGUGUAUUUAGGGGGUUGGGAUGGGAGAAAGAAGUAGGGAACAUUUUCCUUUUUCUACCUUCCUAGUUUGGAAAAAGGCUUUUUAAAAAUGGGGGAGGGGGGCUUGUUAGAUAAUUCCUUAAGAUGAACCUCCAUGUGCCAAACUUCACACAUGAUUUGUGUUACUGUUACUGAUAUUGGUCUGAUUUCAAAUACACAAUGCUCUUUGCCGUGGUCUGUGUGUUAAAUCAGCAAGACCUGUGGUCCACUCUUCGGAGUGAUGUAAAUGAGAUGUGAACGGUUCUGAUACCUUAAUCCAGUCUGCAAGGAUCCCUGGCUUUAGCCUGUCUGUUGGCGCCUACAAACAAUGCCCCGAUUGUCUCCUCCAUCCCAAAUCAGAUGUGUGGGUUCCCCCAUACAUCAAAGCACAGAUUUCCAGAACAGCCUUCACACCAUUUACAAUUGGUUAGCCUGUUAAUAAUGUUCUUGAUGUAAUUGAC